UACGGAGGCUCCAAGCGUUAUCCGGAAUCAUUGGGCUUAAAGGGUCCGUAGGCGGUCUUGUAAGUCAGUGGUGAAAGCCCAUCGCUCAACGGUGGAACGGCCAUUGAUACUGCUGGACUAGAAUUAUUAGGAAGUAACUAGAAUAUGUAGUGUAGCGGUGAAAUGCUUAGAGAUUACAUGGAAUACCAAUUGCGAAGGCAGGUUACUACUAAUGGAUUGACGCUGAUGGACGAAAGCGUGGGUAGCGAACAGG
rnacentral:rRNA from 1 species